rnacentral:rRNA from 1 species
GCUCAGGAUGAACGCUAGCUACAGGCUUAACACAUGCAAGUCGAGGGGCAGCAUGGUCUUAGCUUGCUAAGGCUGAUGGCGACCGGCGCACGGGUGAGUAACACGUAUCCAACCUGCCGUCUACUCUUGGCCAGCCUUCUGAAAGGAAGAUUAAUCCAGGAUGGGAUCAUGAGUUCACAUGUCCGCAUGAUUAAAGGUAUUUUCCGGUAGACGAUGGGGAUGCGUUCCAUUAGAUAGUAGGCGGGGUAACGGCCCACCUAGUCAACGAUGGAUAGGAGUUCUGGGAGGAAGGUCCCCCACAUUGGAACUGAGACACGGUCCAAACUCCUACGGGAGGCAGCAGUGAGGAAUAUUGGUCAAUGGGCGAUGGCCUGAACCAGCCAAGUAGCGUGAGA